GGAGCUGAUUCCCACCUGCGGGGGGGGGGCAGCUGGGGGAGGAUGGCUGCUGAGGCGAGCCUGCUCUUCAGCCUGGCCUGCUUUCUGGACUCACCCAGGGAGCCCCAGGCCAGGCCACACCCAGUACAAUGACAGGGUCUGACAGUGGGACUUGACACCCUUCGUCUUUAAAGCUUCUUCAACCGAGUUCUGACAUUCCUCAGCCCAGGCAGCCCCAAUGGGAAAUCAGUGUUGGCAGGAGGACCAGAGGAGAAUCCACCUGGACUCUGACCUCAAGGGCCACCACCCUCAGGGAAGGCAGCUUUCACUGUAGCCUUGAACCUGGAGGGUCCACUCACCAGACAGGACCCCUGCUGCAUGUCAGAGAACAAUGCGGCCAUCCAGGUCUCUGGCCUAACAGGGCAGCCCGGUGGGGACAAGCCCUGCACAAGUUCUGAUAAAUACACGACCAGACACGAGUGUUCAGGUGGGGACAUGGAGGGCCCCGUACAGAGCCACGGGCCUCAACCCCUGCUCAGCUGGGCCUCAAGGACCAUGGGGAGAUGCUCACUGGGGCCCUGUCCUGCCAGUGCACCUAGGGAAGCAUCGGGCAGGCCUGGAAGGGGAAGGGCCAGCAAAUGCACGUGUGCUCCUGGAGCCCGGCCACUGUCACCGCGUGACUGGCAUCACCUGCAGUUCGGCAAAAGCUUGAGAACAGAGGACUGGAACCCACGGGGCUGAGACUGGAUGGGAAAUUAGCCCAGAGACAUUCAGCAACUUGCUCAAGGUCAUGCAGCCAGGAAUAUGCAGACACUGGAUUUAAACCCAAGUGCAUCUGGCUUCGAAAGCUGCCUUCUUCCAACUCAGUGCUCUGCUUCCCAGGUUUUAAGGCUAACUCAUGUUGCCAAAAGCCUAUCACAGCCCAAAGUAAGCAGAAGCAACUGUCCUGAGAGGUCCCGUGACAGUCUCUAAGCACACGUGUGGGGACGUCAGGAUGAGCAAGCCCCACAGGACACAGGGUCCCCAAGUCAGUCCAGCCAUGAAUCCAAAUUUGGAAGUGCUCAUCAUGCUCUCAGCGGCCCCUUCUGUGGCCCUGCAUGUGACCACAGAACAGGCGGGGCUCUGACCUCACCCAGUGCCCUGUGGGCCCCAGGGAGAUGGACAUGGCUGGGUGUUCAGGACUCAGCAGGUCACCAGGUGGGUUCCCCAGCAGAACCCUCUGUGCUCUCCCAAGUUCCAAACAGGCUGGAGACGAUGGGCUCCGGCCAGGGCUGGCCCUGACCUCAACACCACCCGGUGCACCAUCCCCACAGGGCAGCAGCACAGCCCAGGGACCCCCAGAGGGUCAGGCCACAUGCAACACAUCUGAGGACAAACCCAGAAGCCACAGGGCAUUCUGGGCGUCACCUUUAAGGGAGAAGAGAAUGCAGAGCAACUCGGAGAGAGCAGUCUCACUGGCUCCUUCCUGACUACAGCAUGGUCUGAGCAGAGAGUGAAACGGGCCGGGCUGCCACGGCCCCAGCUGCUCAGCACCCGCGCUGACUUGGGCUUUGCUGAACAGGCUUGCCCGGCACUGACUCGGCCCUGGCCCCCCACACCCUCUCCAGGUACCUGGGCCUUAGGCAACUCUUGGUGGAGGAAGGACAAAGCUUUGGGCCUGGGACCUGGACCUCCCUCUAGUGCAAGCCCCCCCCCCUUUUUUUUAAAUAUUUUUUAGUUGUAGAUGGACACAACACCUUUAUUUAUUUAUCUUUAUGUGGUGCAGAAGAUUGAACCCAGUGCCUCACACAUGCUGGGCGAGUGCUCUGCCACUGAGCCACCACCCCAGCCAAGACCCUUGGCGGCCAAGGACUACACAACCUUUGCCUGGCAGUGGUUGGUGUAAGAAGCCUUCCCCCUGGUGUGUGCUCCCCACAGGGACCCAGGCCUGUGCACACAUCCCAGCCCAAGCCUUGCGACAGCCUUCCUGGGUCCAGCUUCCCACACUCUUAGAAAUCCUCCCUGGAAGGAAAGGUGUCCUCCAGCUGCUCGAGGCUGCACCUGUUGCAGGCAACACCUACCGAGAAACACUGCCCCAAACUCUGCGGCUUGAGGUCUGGUUCUUAUUUCAGACCCAGGACAAAUGGGGUGGGCACAGCCCUGUACAUCCUGGGGACUUAGAAUGGGUCAGUCCUGGGAUUGUCCUGCUCUCCCAAACUGCCUUCCAGGAAGAGAACUGGCUUCUCAGUCGAAGCUGACUGUCCUGCCUCUGUCCUGCUCUGACCAGCCCUCCACACUUGGCCCGGGGCCUGGCACAGAGCAGAGGCCUAGAAAAUCCUUGUUGACUGAUUGCAUGAUAUAUGAGGUCAACAGCCUCUGUCUAGUUAGAAGAGCUCCAGAUGUGUGCAGAACUGUCCUGCGGCCCUCAAUCACAAAGCCGGUGUCCAAGCAGGGUUGUAUAACUCGGGUAAAUCCGAAAGGAUAGUUUUGAAAUAACUGGUAGGACUGAGAGCCCAACCCUGCAUGGACAUUGUGGUUUAAUGAGGAGCCAUUGACAUUAUGAUUGUUUCAAAAAGACUGCAACCAGCUGUUAAAAGAAGCACACCAGAGAGCAAUGUAUGAAGAAGUAUUUUAAUAGCUCAAACUCAGAGUCAUCGCACUCUCUGUUCUGAAGAUUCCUAAAAGAGGGACUUGGCCGUCUCGGAAGCCAGCAUCCACCCAUCCAUGGUCUCUGAGCAUCCUCCUCCUCUGGGUGCUGACUCAGAGGAAAGCACGAACAUGCCCAGGACUGUUCUGGCUCCUGCGAGGCCUUCCUCUUAUCUACACAAUUCGUCAACUGCAUUAGCUGGACUAAGACGAUGACUUGGUUAAAGGAGGAGACAGGUGUUGACUGUCUAAGCAGGAAGAGCCCAAGCUGGCAAGAUAAAGCACGCUGCAUACAUGGGGUACAGAAGGGCGGAGCUUCUGCCUGAGGAUCUGCAACAUUACAUUUGUUUUGCCUGAACACUAUCAGGAAGGAAUCUGUUGGCUGGGGCGUUUCCACUGAACAAGCAAAAUGGCGGUCCAAAGUCCUGGGUAUGCCAAGCCACCAGCCCAGAGUCUUCACGCAUGGUCCACCGCAGUCUCUGAGGGAAAAAUGAAGCCCAGCUCAUGCCUCUGCCUAGGGGUCGAUUUCUUCGGGAAUCACUGUAAUCAUAAUGUCUUCAUUGCCCCUGCGAACAACCAUGUUCAGGAUAUUUUCUUUCUUAAUGACGUCACUGACGUCAUUGGCAGACACCACCGACUGUCCAUUGAUGCUGAUUAUGACGUCGUUCUCCUUGAGACCACCGCUGCAACGCACAGGAAACACAAGGGUCAAGUUUCCAUUCCUCAUAGUUUAACUCUACAUCAACAGAGGCCCAGCACAGAACCAAAAGGCCCAGGGUGACCAGGUGUGGGUUGAAUUCAGGAAAGGAUGACUUUAAAUCACCCGUGCACUGUAUCUCCUUCUGAGAUUUACAGGCCAAAUCAUCAAUCAUGGCAGAAAUUCCUAUGUCCCUAUGGCAUUCCUGUAAUCUUAUGACAUACCAAAGGGGGCAAGGAUGCAUUAGGUACCAUCUGCCACACACUGUGACCGUGGCCAAAUUGCUUAUAAUGAGCCUUGCGGCCCAGAGAACAAUUCCUUCAGGAUGGGCAAAUGCUUCUCUUAGGAGGCACUUCCUCCACAUGCUGAAGCUGCAACUUUAGCUCCUAUAUGACAGUGUCAUUAUGCCAUCAUGGCCCUUCAUGGUCUGGUGCAAACUUUCCUCAUAAAAGGCCAGAUAGGAAAUGAUUUGGGUUUUGCAGGCCACUCCGUCUGUCUUGCUACGACUCUGCCACAGCAACACAAAAACCACCACAGAUGGUCUGUAACCUAAUGGGCUGAAUUCCAGUAAAACACUUGUAGACACUGA